GUGAGGAAUAUUGCACAAUGGAGGAAACUCUGAUGCAGCAACGCCGCGUGGAGGAUGACGCAUUUCGGUGUGUAAACUCCUUUUAAGAGGGAAGAUUAUGACGGUACCUCUUGAAUAAGCACCGGCUAACUCCGUGCCAGCAGCCGCGGUAAUACGGAGGGUGCAAGCGUUACUCGGAAUCACUGGGCGUAAAGGGUGCGUAGGCUGACUUUUAAGUCAGGCGUGAAAUCCAAUGGCUUAACCAUUGAACUGCGCUUGAAACUGGGAGUCUAGAGUUCAGAAGGGGCAGAUGGAAUUAGUGGUGUAGGGGUAAAAUCCGUAGAUAUCACUAGGAAUAUCAAAAGCGAAGGCGAUCUGCUGGGAGGAUACUGACGCUGAGGCACGAAAGCGUGGGGAGCAAACAGGAUUAGAAACCCCGGUAGUCC
rnacentral:rRNA from 1 species